rnacentral:rRNA from 1 species
GAUGAACGCUGGCGGCGUGCCUAAUACAUGCAAGUCGAACGAAACUUCUUUAUCACCGAGUGCUUGCACUCACCGAUAAAGAGUUGAGUGGCGAACGGGUGAGUAACACGUGGGCAACCUGCCCAAAAGAGGGGGAUAACACUUGGAAACAGGUGCUAAUACCGCAUAACCAUAGUUACCGCAUGGUAACUAUGUAAAAGGUGGCUAUACUACCGCUUUUGGAUGGGCCCGCGGCGCAUUAGCUAGUUGGUAGGGUAAAGGCUUACCAAGGCAAUGAUGCGUAGCCGAAUUGAGAGGUUGAUCGGCCACAUUGGGACUGAGACACGGCCCAAACUCCUACGGGAGGCAGCAGUAGGGAAUCUUCCACAAUGGGCGAAAGCCUGAUGGAGCAACGCCGCGGGGGUGAAGAAGGUCUUCGGAUCGUAAAACCCUGUUGUUAGAGAAGAAAGUGCGUGAGAGUAACUGUUCACGUUUCGACGGUAUCUAACCAGAAAGCCACUGCUAACUACGU